AAUAAAUUCACAGUAGAUGCUACAAAAACUAGUUUUAUUACACUAACGUUGAAACCCAUAAGUAAUAUAACAUCUUCUCAACAAGCUUUAAUUUCAUUGAAUGAUUGAAGUCCUGUACUGACAAAAUUGUUUCGUUUUACCAGUGGUCUUUUGAACUGUGAUCCUCUCCUAUUCAAGAGCCCGCGAUUAUUGCGCCCGCUUCUGUUACGCUGCUUUACUUCAUGUAGCCCUGGCAAAAUGAACAGGAAUUGAAAGCGAACACUAAAUUGUCAAAACAACGUAUGUCACGAGAAUUACAACGAUCGGUGACAAACUGGGCAAUUGUUUGGGGCAACUAGAAGCUCCCAUUUCAUUACCAUGUAUUGAACCAAACGAAUUUCAUUAAUAUUUGUCACAUGAGCCUUAUUUGAAGAAUAGAACUAUUAAAAUACUACAGAAACCGG